UACAUGCUUCCAGACCCGAGUAAUGCCCAGGGAAAGAGCGAAAUUGAGAACAAGGAGGAAGAGCUUUAAACAAUUUCCUGGGCCCAUCAUCUUUAGGAAAUAUGAGAGCAUUGGUAAAUAGAAUUGAUGAGCUCCCAGUGCAGAUGAGGACACAGCAGGCGGAAUAAUGAAAGCGGCUUAAUGCAAUUUCCUGAGACAUGCCUGUAGGUUGCAGACGGAGCGGCAGAGAAAAAGGGAGUGGGGAUUUCCAAAGAACCAUCUAGAAAACGACAACUUUUCUCUGAUUUGUUAGCUAAAGUCAGCUGUCAUGGCAGCAAAUCCAAGAACGCCACCGAGAGUAACGUGCUCACAUACCAGACGUCAGACAUCGUUGUGAACACGCCAUCUUUCAGCGACUCUGGAGACAUCCAGCGAACAGGAAGCAGGCCUUUCCCCCCUUUUCGGUAAUAAUCCGUCUCAUAAAUAUCUCUCGUCAUGCCAAAAUCUGAAGGAGGAGGAAAAAAAACAAAAAAAAAGUGAGGUUAGGAGACCUGCUAAAUACGUGCCGAUCUAUCCCACCCACCUACUCACUCUCCAUCUAUAUUAAGACUCUACUAUUUCACGACACUGGAGAACCUAGAGGUAUCACCUACCUCCAAUCUUCACUGUGAAAUCCUCCGUAACCAUGCAGUUCCUGGCGGCCAGGUCUCUGUGGACGAAUUUGUUGGCGUUCAGGUAAGCCAUGCCAUCUGCAAUUUCUCCAGCCAUCUGGAUCAUCUUUUUAAGUGGUGGCAGGACCUGAGUGUUGGAGUUCUGUGGCACAGCAAAGACAGCGCAUCAUUAACGAUGCCAGACUUCAUAUGUAAUCACGUAACAGUGAAGUUCCAGUCACUUUAAGAUAUUCCACGUGAUAUUUGGUGCUUGUUUUUGGAGUAAAAGCCGCUUACUUCAUUUCGUAGGGAGCGCAGGUGGCUCUUGAGGUCUCCCCGGGUCAUCAGCUCCAUGAUCACCAAGGUUGGUUGUCCCUGUGAGACUACACCGAGGAGCCGCACCUACAUUAAUCACAGCAGAGCAACAGUUCAGCGGACGCACUCUGGCUCAUUAAAGUUUGCCUUCACCGGAAAAAAUGUCCUCAGUAAAAAAAAUAAAAA